GAUGAACGCUAGCUACAGGCUUAACACAUGCAAGUCGAGGGGAAACGGCAUCGAAAGCUUGCUUUUGAUGGGCGUCGACCGGCGCACGGGUGAGUAACGCGUAUCCAACCUGCCCAUCACUUGGGAAUAACCUUGCGAAAGUAAGACUAAUGCCCAAUGACAUCCCACGAAGGCAUCCGAAUGGGAUUAAAGAUUUAUCGGUGAUGGAUGGGGAUGCGUCUGAUUAGCUUGUUGGCGGGGUGACGGCCCACCAAGGCAACGAUCAGUAGGGGUUCUGAGAGGAAGGCCCCCCACAUGGGAACUGAGACACGGACCAAACUCCUACGGGAGGGAGCGGUAAGGAAGAUUGGUCAAGGGGCGAGGGCCUAAACCAGCCAAGUAGCGUGCAGGAUGACGGCCCUAGGGGUUGUAAACUGCUUUUAUAAGGGAAUAAAGUGGGUCACGUGUGACUUUUUGCAGGUACCUAAUGAAUAAGGACCGGCUAAUUCCGUG
rnacentral:rRNA from 1 species